rnacentral:rRNA from 1 species
AAAUUGAAGAGUUUGAUCAUGGCUCAGAUUGAACGCUGGCGGCAGGCCUAACACAUGCAAGUCGAGCGGUAGCACAGAGAGCUUGCUCUCGGGUGACGAGCGGCGGACGGGUGAGUAAUGUCUGGGAAACUGCCUGAUGGAGGGGGAUAACUACUGGAAACGGUAGCUAAUACCGCAUAAUGUCGCAAGACCAAAGUGGGGGACCUUCGGGCCUCAUGCCAUCAGAUGUGCCCAGAUGGGAUUAGCUAGUAGGUGGGGUAACGGCUCACCUAGGCGACGAUCCCUAGCUGGUCUGAGAGGAUGACCAGCCACACUGGAACUGAGACACGGUCCAGACUCCUACGGGAGGCAGCAGUGGGGAAUAUUGCACAAUGGGCGCAAGCCUGAUGCAGCCAUGCCGCGUGUGUGAAGAAGGCCUUCGGGUUGUAAAGCACUUUCAGCGGGGAGGAAGGCAGUGAGGUUAAUAACCUCAUCGAUUGACGUUACCCGCAGAAGAAGCACCGGCUAACUCCGUGCCAGCAGCCGCGGUAAUACGGAGGGUGCAAGCGUUAAUCGGAAUUACUGGGCGUAAAGCGCACGCAGGCGGUCUGUCAAGUCGGAUGUGAAAUCCCCGGGCUCAACCUGGGAACUGCAUUCGAAACUGGCAGGCUAGAGUCUUGUAGAGGGGGGUAGAAUUCCAGGUGUAGCGGUGAAAUGCGUAGAGAUCUGGAGGAAUACCGGUGGCGAAGGCGGCCCCCUGGACAAAGACUGACGCUCAGGUGCGAAAGCGUGGGGAGCAAACAGGAUUAGAUACCCUGGUAGUCCACGCCGUAAACGAUGUCGAUUUGGAGGUUGUGCCCUUGAGGCGUGGCUUCCGGAGCUAACGCGUUAAAUCGACCGCCUGGGGAGUACGGCCGCAAGGUUAAAACUCAAAUGAAUUGACGGGGGCCCGCACAAGCGGUGGAGCAUGUGGUUUAAUUCGAUGCAACGCGAAGAACCUUACCUGGUCUUGACAUCCACAGAACUUUCCAGAGAUGGAUUGGUGCCUUCGGGAACUGUGAGACAGGUGCUGCAUGGCUGUCGUCAGCUCGUGUUGUGAAAUGUUGGGUUAAGUCCCGCAACGAGCGCAACCCUUAUCCUUUGUUGCCAGCGGUUAGGCCGGGAACUCAAAGGAGACUGCCAGUGAUAAACUGGAGGAAGGUGGGGAUGACGUCAAGUCAUCAUGGCCCUUACGACCAGGGCUACACACGUGCUACAAUGGCAUAUACAAAGAGAAGCGACCUCGCGAGAGCAAGCGGACCUCAUAAAGUAUGUCGUAGUCCGGAUUGGAGUCUGCAACUCGACUCCAUGAAGUCGGAAUCGCUAGUAAUCGUAGAUCAGAAUGCUACGGUGAAUACGUUCCCGGGCCUUGUACACACCGCCCGUCACACCAUGGGAGUGGGUUGCAAAAGAAGUAGGUAGCUUAACCUUCGGGAGGGCGCUUACCACUUUGUGAUUCAUGACUGGGGUGAAGUCGUAACAAGGUAACCGUAGGGGAACCUGCGGUUGGAUCACCUCCUUACCUUAAAGAA